UCUUUCUCUCUCUCUUUCUCUCACUCUCUUUCUCUCUUGCUCUUUCUCUCUCUCUCUUUCUCUGUCUCUCUCACUCUCUUCUCUCUCUUUUCCUGUCUCUCUCUCACUUUCUUUCUCUCUCUUUCUCUCUUGUUCUUUCUUUCUCUCACUCUCUUUCUUUCUCUCUCUCUUUCUGUCUCUCUCUCACUUUCUUUCUUUCUCUCUCUCUCUUUCUCUCUCUCUCUCUUUCUCUCGUUCAAAGGUCUAAACGCCUUCCCAGCAGUGCAGUUGCUGAAAAAGAAGAGCAAUCUUCUGAGGAGGCAGAGCCACAGCAUUGGAUGCCACGGUUUCUGAAGAAAUCCAAACCGAAGAGGAUUGCCAGCUUCCGUACAAAAUCCUUGAAGAAAUUGCAGCUGGGAGGAGACCAGGUGACAGAGUUGUCUAAAAUCUUCAGCGAGGAUUUCUUCAAGAGCCAAGAUAGGAGAGUCUCCGAAGAUAUCGCCGAUGAAGAUCUACCCCAAGGUACACACGGUGGUGGCCAGACAACGGAG